GAUGAACGCUGGCGGCGUGCCUAAUACAUGCAAGUCGAGCGAACGGACGAGAAGCUUGCUUCUCUGAUGUUAGCGGCGGACGGGUGAGUAACACGUGGAUAACCUACCUAUAAGACUGGGAUAACUUCGGGAAACCGGAGCUAAUACCGGAUGAUAUUUUGAACCGCAUGGUUCAAAAGUGAAAGACGGUCUUGCUGUCACUUAUAGAUGGAUCCGCGCUGCAUUAGCUAGUUGGUAAGGUAACGGCUUACCAAGGCAACGAUGCAUAGCCGACCUGAGAGAGUGAUCGGCCACACUGGAACUGAGACACGGUCCAGACUCCUACGGGAGGCAGCAGUAGGGAAUCUUCCGCAAUGGGCGAAAGCCUGACGGAGCAACGCCGCGUGAGUGAUGAUGGUCUUCGGAUCGUAAAACUCUGUUAUUAGGGAAGAACAUAUGUGUAAGUAACUGUGCACAUCUUGACGGUACCUAAUCAGAAAGCCACGGCUAACUACGUG
rnacentral:rRNA from 1 species